rnacentral:misc_RNA from 1 species
UAAAAAAGAUCCUUUCCCUAUAAGGAGGCUCUCAUCUGUACCUGUCUUCGACUUUGACAUAGACCGAAUUAAAGCUAUGGAUGUUAUUGAUCGAGUGGACACAAUUAGAAGUUCAUGCCAAUCAUGAUUUUGAGGCCAAGAAAGAGGCUUGUGCUUGUGGAGAACGAUCCCAUCUGAUGCAAUGGUUUCUGGUGGGGGAGAUUUUAUGUCUGUUACUGGGCUUAUGAUGAGUGGUGCAAGUCAUUGUUUUUUUGUAUGUUAGAAUUUAAGGUGAUAAAUGUUUUGCUUAAGGGAAAUUAAUUGUUCUGGAAAAUCUCAGGCUAUAGUUUCUGCUUAGUCCUAUGUGUACAGAC